GACGAACGCUGGCGGCGUGCUUAACACAUGCAAGUCGAACGCUGAAGCCCUUUCGGGGGUGGAUGAGUGGCGAACGGGUGAGUAACACGUGGGUAAUCUGCCCUGUACUUCGGGAUAAACCUUGGAAACGGGGUCUAAUACCGGAUAGGACCUGUCCUCGCAUGGGGGUGGGUGGAGAGUUCCGGCGGUAUGGGAUGAGCCCGCGGCCUAUCAGCUUGUUGGUGGGGUAGUGGCCUACCAAGGCGACGACGGGCAGCCGGCCUGAGAGGGUGACCGGUCACACUGGGACUGAGACACGGCCCAGACUCCUACGGGAGGCAGCAGUGGGGAAUCUUGCGCAAUGGGCGAAAGCCUGACGCAGCAACGCCGCGUGGGGGAUGACGGCCUUCGGGUUGUAAACCUCUUUCGACAUCGACGAAGGGGCCCUGUUGUGGGGUUUUGACGGUAGGUGUAGAAGAAGCACCGGCUAACUACGUGCCAGCCGCCGCCGUAA
rnacentral:rRNA from 1 species